GCCUUUGUGGUGUAACGGUAGAAUACUUGGCGCUCAUUCCACAGGUCCAGGUUCAAGUCCCGGCGAGGGCA
rnacentral:tRNA from 1 species